rnacentral:rRNA from 1 species
CGCUGGCGGCGUGCCUAAUACAUGCAAGUCGAGCGAACAGAUAAGGAGCUUGCUCCUUUGACGUUAGCGGCGGACGGGUGAGUAACACGUGGAUAACCUACCUAUAAGACUGGGAUAACUUCGGGAAACCGGAGCUAAUACCGGAUAACAUAUUGAACCGCAUGGUUCAAUAGUGAAAGGCGGCUUUGCUGUCACUUAUAGAUGGAUCCGCGCCGUAUUAGCUAGUUGGUAAGGUAACGGCUUACCAAGGCAACGAUACGUAGCCGACCUGAGAGGGUGAUCGGCCACACUGGAACUGAGACACGGUCCAGACUCCUACGGGAGGCAGCAGUAGGGAAUCUUCCGCAAUGGGCGAAAGCCUGACGGAGCAACGCCGCGUGAGUGAUGAAGGUCUUCGGAUCGUAAAACUCUGUUAUCAGGGAAGAACAAAUGUGUAAGUAACUGUGCACAUCUUGACGGUACCUGAUCAGAAAGCCACGGCUAACUACGUGCCAGCAGCCGCGGUAAUACGUAGGUGGCAAGCGUUAUCCGGAAUUAUUGGGCGUAAAGCGCGCG